ACUUGACUGAUCUCGCAGGCAUCUGCGAGGUUCGAAAGCUCCGGCGGUGCAGGAUGAGCCCGCGGCCUAUCAGCUAGUUGGUGAGGUAACGGCUCACCAAGGCGACGACGGGUAGCCGGCCUGAGAGGGCGACCGGCCACACUGGGACUGAGACACGGCCCAGACUCCUACGGGAGGCAGCAGUGGGGAAUAUUGCACAAUGGGCGAAAGCCUGAUGCAGCGACGCCGCGUGAGGGAUGACGGCCUUCGGGUUGUAAACCUCUUUCAGCAGGGAAGAAGCGAAAGUGACGGUACCUGCAGAAGAAGCGCCGGCUAACUACGUGCCAGCAGCCGCGGUAAUACGUAGGGCGCAAGCGUUGUCCGGAAUUAUUGGGCGUAAAGAGCUCGUAGGCGGCUUGUCACGUCGGUUGUGAAAGCCCGGGGCUUAACCCCGGGUCUGCAGUCGAUACGGGCAGGCUAGAGUUCGGUAGGGGAGAUCGGUUUUCCUUGGUGAA
rnacentral:rRNA from 1 species